rnacentral:rRNA from 1 species
UUAAGUUAUUAAGGGCGCACGGUGGAUGCCUUGGCACUAGAAGCCGAUGAAGGACGUUACUAACGACGAUAUGCUUUGGGGAGCUGUAAGUAAGCUUUGAUCCAGAGAUUUCCGAAUGGGGAAACCCAGCAUGAGUUAUGUCAUGUUAUCGAUAUGUGAAUACAUAGCAUAUCAGAAGGCACACCCGGAGAACUGAAACAUCUUAGUACCCGGAGGAAGAGAAAGAAAAUUCGAUUCCCUUAGUAGCGGCGAGCGAAACGGGAAGAGCCCAAACCAACAAGCUUGCUUGUUGGGGUUGUAGGACACUCUAUACGGAGUUACAAAGGACGACAUUAGACGAAUCAUCUGGAAAGAUGAAUCAAAGAAGGUAAUAAUCCUGUAGUCGAAAAUGUUGUCUCUCUUGAGUGGAUCCUGAGUACGACGGAGCACGUGAAAUUCCGUCGGAAUCUGGGAGGACCAUCUCCUAAGGCUAAAUACUCUCUAGUGACCGAUAGUGAACCAGUACCGUGAGGGAAAGGUGAAAAGCACCCCGGAAGGGGAGUGAAAUAGAACCUGAAACCGUGUGCUUACAAGUAGUCAGAGCCCGUUAAUGGGUGAUGGCGUGCCUUUUGUAGAAUGAACCGGCGAGUUACGAUUUGAUGCAAGGUUAAGCAGUAAAUGUGGAGCCGUAGCGAAAGCGAGUCUGAAUAGGGCGUUUAGUAUUUGGUCGUAGACCCGAAACCAGGUGAUCUACCCUUGGUCAGGUUGAAGUUCAGGUAACACUGAAUGGAGGACCGAACCGACUUACGUUGAAAAGUGAGCGGAUGAACUGAGGGUAGCGGAGAAAUUCCAAUCGAACCUGGAGAUAGCUGGUUCUCUCCGAAAUAGCUUUAGGGCUAGCCUCAAGUGAUGAUUAUUGGAGGUAGAGCACUGUUUGGACGAGGGGCCCCUCUCGGGUUACCGAAUUCAGACAAACUCCGAAUGCCAAUUAAUUUAACUUGGGAGUCAGAACAUGGGUGAUAAGGUCCGUGUUCGAAAGGGAAACAGCCCAGACCACCAGCUAAGGUCCCAAAAUAUAUGUUAAGUGGAAAAGGAUGUGGCGUUGCCCAGACAACUAGGAUGUUGGCUUAGAAGCAGCCAUCAUUUAAAGAGUGCGUAAUAGCUCACUAGUCGAGUGACACUGCGCCGAAAAUGUACCGGGGCUAAACAUAUUACCGAAGCUGUGGAUUGUCCUUUGGACAAUGGUAGGAGAGCGUUCUAAGGGCGUUGAAGCAUGAUCGUAAGGACAUGUGGAGCGCUUAGAAGUGAGAAUGCCGGUGUGAGUAGCGAAAGACGGGUGAGAAUCCCGUCCACCGAUUGACUAAGGUUUCCAGAGGAAGGCUCGUCCGCUCUGGGUUAGUCGGGUCCUAAGCUGAGGCCGACAGGCGUAGGCGAUGGAUAACAGGUUGAUAUUCCUGUACCACCUAUAAUCGUUUUAAUCGAUGGGGGGACGCAGUAGGAUAGGCGAAGCGUGCGAUUGGAUUGCACGUCUAAGCAGUAAGGCUGAGUAUUAGGCAAAUCCGGUACUCGUUAAGGCUGAGCUGUGAUGGGGAGAAGACAUUGUGUCUUCGAGUCGUUGAUUUCACACUGCCGAGAAAAGCCUCUAGAUAGAAAAUAGGUGCCCGUACCGCAAACCGACACAGGUAGUCAAGAUGAGAAUUCUAAGGUGAGCGAGCGAACUCUCGUUAAGGAACUCGGCAAAAUGACCCCGUAACUUCGGGAGAAGGGGUGCUCUUUAGGGUUAACGCCCAGAAGAGCCGCAGUGAAUAGGCCCAAGCGACUGUUUAUCAAAAACACAGGUCUCUGCUAAACCGUAAGGUGAUGUAUAGGGGCUGACGCCUGCCCGGUGCUGGAAGGUUAAGAGGAGUGGUUAGCUUCUGCGAAGCUACGAAUCGAAGCCCCAGUAAACGGCGGCCGUAACUAUAACGGUCCUAAGGUAGCGAAAUUCCUUGUCGGGUAAGUUCCGACCCGCACGAAAGGCGUAACGAUUUGGGCACUGUCUCAACGAGAGACUCGGUGAAAUCAUAGUACCUGUGAAGAUGCAGGUUACCCGCGACAGGACGGAAAGACCCCGUGGAGCUUUACUGUAGCCUGAUAUUGAAAUUCGGCACAGCUUGUACAGGAUAGGUAGGAGCCUUUGAAACGUGAGCGCUAGCUUACGUGGAGGCGCUGGUGGGAUACUACCCUAGCUGUGUUGGCUUUCUAACCCGCACCACUUAUCGUGGUGGGAGACAGUGUCAGGCGGGCAGUUUGACUGGGGCGGUCGCCUCCUAAAAGGUAACGGAGGCGCUCAAAGGUUCCCUCAGAAUGGUUGGAAAUCAUUCAUAGAGUGUAAAGGCAUAAGGGAGCUUGACUGCGAGACCUACAAGUCGAGCAGGGUCGAAAGACGGACUUAGUGAUCCGGUGGUUCCGCAUGGAAGGGCCAUCGCUCAACGGAUAAAAGCUACCCCGGGGAUAACAGGCUUAUCUCCCCCAAGAGUUCACAUCGACGGGGAGGUUUGGCACCUCGAUGUCGGCUCAUCGCAUCCUGGGGCUGUAGUCGGUCCCAAGGGUUGGGCUGUUCGCCCAUUUAAGCGGUACGCGAGCUGGGUUCAGAACGUCGUGAGACAGUUCGGUCCCUAUCCGUCGUGGGCGUAGGAAAUUUGAGAGGAGCUGUCCUUAGUACGAGAGGACCGGGAUGGACAUACCUCUGGUGUACCAGUUGUCGUGCCAACGGCAUAGCUGGGUAGCUAUGUGUGGACGGGAUAAGUGCUGAAAGCAUCUAAGCAUGAAGCCCCCCUCAAGAUGAGAUUUCCCAACUUCGGUUAUAAGAUCCCUCAAAGAUGAUGAGGUUAAUAGGUUCGAGGUGGAAGCAUGGUGACAUGUGGAGCUGACGAAUACUAAUCGAUCGAAGACUUAAUCAA